GACAAUAUGGAUUUAUAUAGUUGGUAGAGCAUGAAACUCUUAAUCUCAGGGUCAUGGGUUCAAGACCCACAUUAGGCA